GGCUAGUCCAAGUGCAAGUGGUGUUUACAACUAAUUGAUCGAUCACAACCAGUUACAGAUUUCUUUGUUCCUUCUUCAUUCCCACUGCUUUGCUUUAUUCGUCAUAA
ensembl:Y_RNA Y_RNA Y RNA